rnacentral:rRNA from 1 species
GGCUUAGAGUUUGAUCAUGGCUCAGGAUAAACGCUGGCGGCGCACAUAAGACAUGCAAGUCGAACGGACUUAACUCGAAGUUUACUUUGAGAGCGGUUAGUGGCGGACUGGUGAGUAACACGUAAGCAACCUGCCUAUCAGAGGGGAAUAACAGUGAGAAAUCAUUGCUAAUACCGCAUAUGCUUACACUAUCGCAUGAUAGAGUAAGGAAAGGAGCAAUCUGCUGAUAGAUGGGCUUGCGUCUGAUUAGCUAGUUGGUGAGGUAACGGCUUACCAAGGCGACGAUCAGUAGCCGGACUGAGAGGUUGAACGGCCACAUUGGGACUGAGAUACGGCCCAGACUCCUACGGGAGGCAGCAGUCGGGAAUAUUGCGCAAUGGAGGAAACUCUGACGCAGUGACGCCGCGUAUAGGAAGAAGGUUUUCGGAUUGUAAACUAUUGUCGUUAGGGAAGAUACAAGACAGUACCUAAGGAGGAAGCACCGGCUAACUAUGUGCCAGCAGCCGCGGUAAUACAUAGGGUGCGAGCGUUAUCCGGAAUUAUUGGGUGUAAAGGGUGCGUAGAUGGGAAGACAAGUUAGUUGUGAAAUCCCUCGGCUCAACUGAGGAACUGCAACUAAAACUAUCUUUCUUGAGUGUCGGAGAGGAAAGU